UACAGAGGGUGCAAACGUUGUUCGGAAUUACUGGGCGUAAAGCGCGUGUAGGCUGCUCGGAAAGUCGGAUGUGAAAGCCCUGGGCUCAACCUAGGAAGUGCAUUCGAAACUUCCGAGCUGGAGUGCUGGAGAGGAAGGCGGAAUUCUCGGUGUAGAGGUGAAAUUCGUAGAUAUCGGGAGGAACACCGGUGGCGAAGGCGGCCUUCUGGACAGCCACUGACGCUGAGACGCGAAAGCGUGGGGAGCAAACAGG
rnacentral:rRNA from 1 species